rnacentral:rRNA from 1 species
UACGGAGGGUGCAAGCGUUGUUCGGAAUUACUGGGCGUAAAGCGCGUGUAGGCGGCCUCUUAAGUCUGGUGUGAAAGCCCGGGGCUUAACUCCGGAAGGGCACUGGAGACUGGGAGGCUUGAGUACCGGAGAGGAAGGUGGAAUUCCUGGUGUAGCGGUGAAAUGCGUAGAUAUCAGGAGGAACACCGGUGGCGAAGGCGGCCUUCUGGACGGCUACUGACGCUGAGACGCGAAAGCGUGGGGAGCAAACAGG